AUAAGAUACAGAUCGACCCAACAUUCGGUGAAGAUACACAGAUGUCAGGAGGAAUUGCUCGAUGUUGUCUCGCGGAGGAGUGCAAGGCGUGGCGCAAAAACCAUCCCCAUGGUUUCGUGGCUAAGCCGGAGACACUUCCCGAUGGUACGGUCAACUUGAUGGUGUGGCACUGCAUUAUUCCUGGAAAGGCCGGGGUAUGCCUUCGUCUUCUUCGUUAUCUACUUUUCAGUUUUUUUAAAGAGAAUUUUGCUCCUAUAUGACUUUAUUUCUCUGGAAAGUUUUCUCAGCUUUAGGGGCCGUUUGAAUUAGAAUGGACGAAUGUGAUUUACUUAUAAUAGCAAGAUGAACUCAAAAAAUAUUGUGAAAGGUUGAGAGAUUAUGGAAUCGAAUUUUGUUUUGGCCGAAUAAUUUUUUGGGU